AACGAACGCUGGCGGCAGGCCUAACACAUGCAAGUCGAGCGCACCCUUCGUGGGGGGCGGCUGACGGGGGAGUAACGCGGGGGAACGUGCCGUUCUCUGCGGAAUAGCAUCUUUAAGCUGAGGGUAAUACCGCAUACGUCCUGUGGGGAAAAGAUUUAUCGUAGAAGUAACGGCACGAGUUGGUUUAGGUAGGUGGGGUGGUAAUGGCCCACCAAGGCGACGAUCCAUAGCUGGGUACAGAGGAUGAGCAGCCACACUGGGACUGAGACACGGCCGAGAAUACUACGGGAGGGAGCAGUGGGGAAUCUUAGCAUAUCGGGGCAAUGAUGAUCGAGUUAGGCUGCGUGAGUGCUGAAGGCCUUAGGGAUGUAAAGCUGUUUAAGAUGGGAAGAUAAUGACGGUACCCGCAGAAGAAGCCCCGGCUAACUCCGUG
rnacentral:rRNA from 1 species